rnacentral:rRNA from 1 species
UACGGAGAAGGCAAGCGUUAUCCGGAAUUAUUGGGCGUAAAGCGUCCGUAGGUGGUUGGCCAAGUCUGCUGUCAAAGGGUGGGGCUUAACCUCAUAAAGGCAGUGGAAACUGGCGAGCUAGAGUGCGGUAGGGGUAGGGGGAAUUCCCAGUGUAGCGGUGAAAUGCGUAGAGAUUGGGAAGAACAUCGGUGGCGAAAGCGACCUGCUGGGCGUGCACUGACUCUGAGGGACGAAAACUAGGGGAGCGAAAGGG